rnacentral:rRNA from 1 species
AUUGAACGCUGGCGGAAUGCUUUACACAUGCAAGUCGAACGGCUGCACGGGUGCUUGCACCUGGUGGCGAGUGGCGAACGGGUGAGUAAUAUAUCGGAACGUACCCAUUAAUGGGGGAUAACAUAUCGAAAGAUGUGCUAAUACCGCAUACGCCCUGAGGGGGAAAGCGGGGGAUCUUAGGACCUCGCGUUAUUGGAGCGGCCGAUAUCGGAUUAGCUAGUUGGUGGGGUAAAGGCCCACCAAGGCGACGAUCCGUAGCUGGUCUGAGAGGACGACCAGCCACACUGGAACUGAGACACGGUCCAGACUCCUACGGGAGGCAGCAGUGGGGAAUUUUGGACAAUGGGGGAAACCCUGAUCCAGCCAUUCCGCGUGAGUGAAGAAGGCCUUCGGGUUGUAAAGCUCUUUCGCAAGGGAAGAAAACUUACAUUCUAAUAAAGUGUGAGGCUGACGGUACCUUGAUAAGAAGCACCGGCUAACUACGUGCCAGCCGCCGCAGUAA